GGCCUCAUGGUGUAGUGGUAACAUGCCCUCUGUUGAUGCUUCUUCUGCACUGAUUUGUAUUUGAGGAAGUUCCUUGUUCGAAUCAAGGUGAGGCCA